ACUAAAGUUGUUGCGGUUAAAAAGCUCGUAGUUGAAAUUGUGUCUUGCGGUGUCGGUCUACCGACUGCGGUACGACAGGCACGUCUGCGGGGCUUCUCGCCGGUGCGUCCACCGCCGGCACGUUGCGGUCGUCCGCGAGGACGGCCGCUCGUCGAGGCGGGCCGUCGCGGCUGUUUACUUUGAACAAAUUAGAGUGCUCAAAGCGGGCUAAGUUUUGCCUGAAUAUUGUACGCAUGGAAUAAUAGAAUAGGACCUCGGUUCUGUUUUGUUGGCUUUCUGAUACCAGAGGUAAUGAUUAAUAGGGACAACUGGGGGCAUUCGUAUUGCGACGUUAGAGGUGAAAUUCUUGGAUCGUCGCAAGACGGACUAAAGCGAAAGCAUUUGCCAAAGGUGUUUUCAUUAAUCAAGAACGAAAGUUAGAGGUUCGAAGGCGAUUAGAUACCGCUGUAGUUCUAACCAUAAAUGAUGCCAGCCAGCGAUCCGCCGACGUUUCAAAAAUUUAACCCGGUGGGCAGCUCCCGGGAAACCAAAGCUUUC
rnacentral:rRNA from 1 species